rnacentral:rRNA from 1 species
ACGGGAGGCAGCAGUGAGGAAUAUUGGUCAAUGGGCGGGAGCCUGAACCAGCCAAGUCGCGUGAAGGAUGAAGGUAUUAUGUAUUGUAAACUUCUUUAGCUGUGGAGCAAUAAUCUCCAUGUAUGGAGAGAUGAGAGUACACAGAGAAUAAGGAUCGGCUAACUCCGUGCCAGCAGCCGCGGUAAUACGGAGGAUCCGAGCGUUAUCCGGAUUUAUUGGGUUUAAAGGGUGCGCAGGCGGCUUUCUAAGUCAGUGGUAAAAUCGUGGUGCUCAACGCCAUCCCGCCAUUGAUACUGGAGAGCUUGAUUGCGGUCGAGGUUUGCGGAAUUCGUCGUGUAGCGGUGAAAUGCAUAGAUAUGACGAAGAACACCGAUUGCGUAGGCAGCAGACCAGGCCGUAAAUGACGCUCAUGCACGAAAGUGCGGGGAUCGAACAGGAUUAGAUACCCUGGUA